rnacentral:rRNA from 1 species
AAAGAUUUAUCGCUUUGGGAUUGGCCUGCGGAGUAUCAGCUAGUUGGUAGGGUAAAAGCCUACCAAGGCUAUGACGCUUAGGGGACCUGAGAGGGUGACCCCCACCGAUGGGACUGAGACACGGCCCAUACUCCUACGGGAGGCCGCAGUCGAGAAUCUUCCGCAAUGGACGAAAGUCUGACGGAACGACACAGCGUGGUAGAUGAAGUCUUUCGAGAUGUAAAUACCUUUUAUGAGUGAAGAAGUUUAUUGACAUUAGCUCAUGAAUAAGGGGCUGCUAAUCACGUGCCAGCAGCAGCGGUAAUACGUGAGCCCCAAGCAUUAUCCGGAAUCAUUGGGCGUAAAGGGUCCGUAGGCGGUUUUAUUAGUCGUAUGUGAAAGCACCGGGCUCAACCCGGGACACGCACACGAAACGGUAAAACUAGAGAAUGACAGAGGUGUGUGGAACUCAUGGUGUAGGGGUGAAAUCCGUUGAUAUCAUGGGGAACACCGAAAGCGAAGGCAGCACACUGGGUCAUUUCUGACGCUGAGGGACGAAACCCUGGGUAGCGAAUG